rnacentral:lncRNA from 1 species
AUGACAUGAAAAAGUCAUUUCCCUAAUUGCCUUCCCUGUCCCUGCCAUUUUCUUAGCCAUUUUCUUUCUGUGAACCAAAUUUAUUAGUGCUUCUGUUUGCAGGUAAUCCCAGCUUGGUCCUCUCCUUCAUCUUCUGUUAGUCUCUGGCAACUGAUUAGACUUGGCUGAUGAUACUGAAGACUUAGAAACAGCGGUGGUUUGAAAUGGUGUAUGAAAUCUAAAGAAGCUCGUCUUUGGGGCACAUGGUGGGAAAACUAAUCUUUCAGUUCAAAUAAUGCCUCUAAGCUUUUGCUGUAGAAGAAAGCUUGGAUUAGAAAAGAGCGAGUCAGCAGCUUGCUUCUUCUUGAGGUGUCCUCUACUCUGGACAAUUCUUGUUCUCGUAUAUUCAUGGACAAGGCUAACGUGCGUGAUGUAAGAGUAAGUAGUAAGUGCUUCUGGUUAUCCAGUCAAGGACAUUUUCAAUGAAAAAGGGGAUAAUAUGUAAAGGUGAAAGUGAAAAGAACACACAGAGAUACAAACGUAAGAAGGAUAACAGACAUAAUCAAAGACUAAGAGUUUCCAGUGACAAUAGGAUAUGGGAUUAAGAAGCUCAAGACACAGUUUUGAACAGAGACACCUGGACUUCAUAACUGCUUAGAAGAUAAACAAGAGAAAUGUGAGUCAUAGAAUCAUAAAGUCAUAGAAUGGUUUGGGUUGGAAGGGACCUUUAAGAUCGUCUAGUUCUAAACCCCCUGCUAUAGGCAGGGACACCUCCCUCUAGACCAGGUUGCUCACAGCCCCAUCCAGCCUGGCCUUCCAGGGAGGGGGCAUCCACAGCUUCUCUGGGCAGCCCGUGCCAGUUCCUCACCACCCUCUGAGUAAAGAAUUUCCUCCUAACAUCUAAUCUAAAUCUCCCCUCUUUUAGUUUAAAGCCAUUCCCCUUUGUCCUAUCACUAUCAGACUGUUCAGGAAGUCAGUUUCCCUCCUUUUUAU